rnacentral:rRNA from 1 species
UACAGAGGUCUCAAGCGUUGUUCGGAUUCAUUGGGCAUAAAGGGUGUGUAGGUGGCGCGCUAAGUCGGGUGUGAAAUUUCGGAGCUUAACUCCGAAACUGCAUUCGAUACUGGCGUGCUUGAGGACUGGAGAGGAGACUGGAAUUCAUGGUGUAGCAGUGAAAUGCGUAGAGAUCAUGAGGAAGACCAGUGGCGAAGGCGGGUCUCUGGACAGUUCCUGACACUGAGACACGAAGGCCAGGGGAGCAAACGGG